CUCGUAGGCGGUUCGGUAAGUCGGGUGUGAAAACUCUGGGCUCAACCCAGAGACGCCACCCGAUACUGCUGUGACUAGAGUGCGGUAGGGGAGCGGGGAAUUCCUGGUGUAGCGGUGAAAUGCGCAGAUAUCAGGAGGAACACCAGCGGCGAAGGCGCCGCUCUGGGCCGUGACUGACGCUGAGGAGCGAAAGCAUGGGUAGCAAACA
rnacentral:rRNA from 1 species